rnacentral:rRNA from 1 species
GGGUUGUGAGGUUAAGCGACUAAGCGUACACGGUGGAUGCCUAGGCAAUCAGAGGCGAUGAAGGACGUGCUAAUCUGCGAUAAGCGUCGGUAAGGUGAUAUGAACCGUUAUACCCGACGAUUUCCGAAUGGGGAAACCCAGUGCAAUUCGUUGCACUAUCGUUUGAUGAAUACAUAGUCAAACGAAGCGAACCGGGGGAACUGAAACAUCUCAGUACCCCGAGGAAAAGAAAUCAACCGAGAUUCCCCUAGUAGCGGCGAGCGAACGGGGAGCAGCCCAGAGUCUUAAUCAGCAUUAGUAUCAGGAGAACGGUCUGGAAAGUCCGGCAGUAAAGGGUGAUAGCCCCGUAUCUGAAGAUGCUAGUGUUGUGAACUCGACGAGUAGGGCGGGACACGUGUUAUCCUGUCUGAAUAUGGGGGGACCAUCCUCCAAGGCUAAAUACU